GGUAUCUUCCUCCAGAAUGCUUUGACCUCAGCAAAACACCAUUUAUUUCAUCUAAGGUGGAUGUUUGGUCAGCUGGUGUAAUUUUUUACCAAAUGCUUUAUGGAAGGCGUCCUUUUGGUCAUGAUCAGACUCAGGAGAGAAUACUUCGGGAAGAUACAAUUAU